rnacentral:sRNA from 1 species
GUUGACGUUCGGCGCGUGGUGCCCGAGAUCGACGAGGCAGAAGGCCUUGGGCCCGAGUUCCUGUGCGAUCAGGUAGUUCGUGCCCCAAUCCUGCAC